AGGGUGUGACUCUUGGUGUGUCCUGUGCAGGGCCAGGAGUUAGAUUCGAUGGCUCCUGUGCAUCCCGUAGAACUGUGGUUCUGUGGCCAGGGAGCAGCAUGGCUCAGCCCCACGACUCUCGCUCACCCUUGUUUUUUGGUUAAAGUUGGGCAAUCGGGGAAGGUAGAAGAGGAUGCUGCCACAGAUUCCCUCAGCACCACCAGAAAGACCCUUUGGGCCCAGACAGCAAUUGCGUUUUGUCUUGUCCUUGUAGUCAUAAGUCUAUUGUGCAUGCUUUUUUAUAGAUCAACUUUUCCAGUUUUCUUCCUUCUCUCUUAUCCCACCUCAGCAGCCACAAACAUUAUCUAACUCCAAACCAACUCUGUGAUGGUGUCCAGCCUACAGAGACACUUGACCCCAGCACUGAAGCAGCUCAGGGCAGAGACUUCACAGCCCCAUCCAGAGAACCUGCACCUUUACUAAACCACUGCAGGUAUAACAGGAACAAAUCAAGGAAUUUUGGAGCUGAUUAAGAACAGUACAGUCAUCUUGUUCAUGACCUUCACCAUUUGUAAGACAAGCUAAACCCAGAAUAUAUCACAUUUGAACAACUUGCCAGCUAGUCAAGACUAGCAGAAGGAAAGUGGUGAUUUUCAAGUUCAAAAAGAAAGUAGAGUCCAAUGUAACAACAGCUGCCUUUGUGGGAGAGUCUGUUUGUCCAGUGCUGAAUUCCAAUGAAUUUCAAACAGCACUGGUCAAAGUGCAAAGAUCCAUCCUGUUUGAGCUGACUGAAGACCUGGGGACAAACUAAUCAGGUCUGAUCCAAGGACCGCUGUGCAUUUCCAGGAAGCAAAUAACACUUCUAAAUGGCAGCAUCUGUCUGAAGAGAAGACAUUAAUUCAAACCUUUUAGGCUAAACAUUUACAGAGAAGCAGAAAGUCCCAGUCAGAGCAAGAAUGUGAAAAAGUAAGUAAAAUGUUAUCUUGUUAUAAAAUGUGUCUUGAUUGGCAAACUGUAAGUAUGGAUCAAAGCAGUAAUAUGCUGGAGAAAGAGCUAGAUACAGCAGAGCGUAGGCAUCAGUAUUU